AUUGAACGCUGGCGGCAGGCCUAACACAUGCAAGUCGAACGGUAGCACAGAGAGCUUGCUCUCGGGUGACGAGCGGCGGACGGGUGAGUAACGUCUGGGAAACUGCCCGAUGGAGGGGGAUAACUACUGGAAACGGUAGCUAAUACCGCAUAACGUCGCAAGACCAAAGUGGGGGACCUUCGGGCCUCACACCAUCGGAUGUGCCCAGAUGGGAUUAGCUAGUAGGUGGGGUAAUGGCUCACCUAGGCGACGAUCCCUAGCUGGUCUGAGAGGAUGACCAGCCACGCUGGAACUGAGACACGGUCCAGACUCCUACGGGAGGCAGCAGUGGGGAAUAUUGCACAAUGGGCGCAAGCCUGAUGCAGCCAUGCCGCGUGUAUGAAGAAGGCCUUCGGGUUGUAAAGUACUUUCAGCGGGGAGGAAGGCGGUGAAGUUAAUAACUUCACCGAUUGACGUUACCCGCAGAAGAAGCACCGGCUAACUCCGUGCCAGCCGCCGCAGUAA
rnacentral:rRNA from 1 species